rnacentral:rRNA from 1 species
AUUGAACGCUGGCGGCAUGCUUUACACAUGCAAGUCGAACGGUAACAGGCCUUCGGGUGCUGACGAGUGGCGAACGGGUGAGUAAUGCAUCGGAACGUACCCAGAGGUGGGGGAUAACGCAGCGAAAGCUGUGCUAAUACCGCAUGUGACCUGAGGAUGAAAGCGGGGGACCGAGCAGCAAUGUUUGGCCUCGCGCCUUUGGAGCGGCCGAUGUCGGAUUAGCUAGUUGGUGGGGUAAAGGCCUACCAAGGCGACGAUCCGUAGCUGGUCUGAGAGGACGACCAGCCACACUGGGACUGAGACACGGCCCAGACUCCUACGGGAGGCAGCAGUGGGGAAUUUUGGACAAUGGGCGCAAGCCUGAUCCAGCAAUGCCGCGUGCGGGAAGAAGGCCUUCGGGUUGUAAACCGCUUUUGGCAGGAACGAAACGGUGUCCGCUAAUACCGGGCGCUAAUGACGGUACCUGCAGAAUAAGCACCGGCUAACUACGUG